UCGCAAUGAAUCCUAUGUAACUAUAGUAUGAUUCUUUACUUUUUCAUUAAAGUGAAGUAUUAUUUUUACAUGAAUAUUUGAUAUUUUUACAUGAUCACCUCUCAUAUUAGAGUAUAAUAUGUCCUAUCUUCACGUGUGAAGGGCAAAUGUGGAACUUGCAAAUAUUCAUAUGGAAGUAUCAAUUUCUAGAAGUAAUGCAUCUUACUUAAUAUAUAGUAUUUAAAAUUGGAAUUAUGUACUUUAAAUAAAUUUUGCAGGAUAUAUGUAUAUUACUUUUAAUAAGCUCAUUUGUGGGACGUAGGGGAGAAUACAUACAAUCUCUAAUUAAUUCGUAAAGAGAUUCAUAUUAUGGAAUCUCUUCAUGAUUUCCUUCAAAUUGGGAGUAAUAUAUAAACACUGGCCAUUUUUUGCACAGCUGUCUCUCCCUCCAUUUAUCUAAUAUAUAUAUAUAUAACAGAUUUCAGGAAAGGACCGGCGGGUACUGAUCAGUGGCGGAACCAGAACAAAAUUUGAGGGAAGACAAAAUUUGAGGGCAGUUACCGGAGGUCCGAAACAGCGACGUGUAAGUUGCAGCGGCAAGGGAUUUAAUACUUUCUCACUUUAAUACUUCUAAUCCAUAUGAUGGUUUACCUCUAUUUUUUUUACAUAUAGUAUAUGAGAGUAUGUCUAGAAUUUAUAGAACCUCCACUUCAAGCUUACUAGGCUGCCCAACACAACACUCAAAGUUGUUUUUGCCAAAACAGUCCACUUGGGACUUUUAUCGAACAACUUGUGCGCACUGUUCUAAGCUACCAAUUUCAUGGCUAUUUGUAUAAAUAAAAACAUCAUAAUUAUAAUUAAGCAUACAUUCUCAAAGAUACGGAACCAUGCAACUAAUAAUUUUAACAUACAUAUGAAAUUAUAUGAAAUCAUGACACACAAAAAAAGCAUCCAAGUAUUACUACAUCUGCACAGAAAAAUUUAUAUUAAAGUAAACAAAUAAACAAUCAAAGAAAAGAAGAAUAGAAGCCAAGUCCAAAAAUGUAUAAACUAAACAGAACAAGAAC
rnacentral:lncRNA from 1 species